rnacentral:lncRNA from 1 species
ACUUCAGGGGUUCACAAUCGCGGUCUAGUCUUUAAGAAAAGGGCCAAGAGAAAAACUUGUGUUUCUGUUAAAACUUCAGCAGGCAUUUAUUAUGUCUUCAAUUGUUUUCAUUUUCUUUGCCUUAUGAUAAUCAGGCCAUACUUGGACCUGCUUUGACAUCCUCAUUGAACUUAUGCUUACUAGAGUGGCUCCCUUCAGUUCCCACUCAUUCUGCCUGAGCCAAAUUCCUGUUUCCUAUACCUGCCCACCAUUUGCUUGGCCCCAGGGUUAUGCCUAGCACUUAAAUUCACCACCAACAUCCCUUGAUACCGUACAUCAGAAACAAAAUGUGACCUACAGCAAACCUAAUGAUUA